rnacentral:rRNA from 1 species
GCAAGAUUAAAACUCAAAGGAAUAGACGGGGACCCGCACAAGCGGUGGAGCAUGUGGUUUAAUUCGACGAUACGCGAAGAACCUUACCUGGCCUUGACAUAGAAAGAACUUUCCAGAGACGGAUUGGUGCUAGUUUACUAGAGCUUUCAUACAGGUGCUGCACGGCUGUCGUCAGCUCGUGUCGUGAGAUGUUGGGUUAAGUCCCGCAACGAGCGCAACCCUCGUGUUUAGUUACUAACAGUUCGGCUGAGGACUCUAAACAGACUGCCUGGGUAACCAGGAGGAAGGUGAGGACGACGUCAAGUCAUCAUGGCCCUUACGGCCAGGGCUACACACGUGCUACAAUGGGGUAUACAAAGAGCUGCAAUACGGUGACGUGGAGCAAAUCUCAUAAAAUAUCUCCCAGUUCGGAUUGAAGUCUGCAACUCGACUUCAUGAAGUUGGAAUCGCUAGUAAUCGUAGAUCAGCAAUGCUACGGUGAAUACGUUCCCGGGUCUUGUAUUCACCGCCCGUCACACCAUGGGAAUUGAAUUCAUUCGAAGCGGGGAUGCUAAAAUAGCUACCUUCCACAGUGGAUUUAGUAACUAGGGUGAAGUCGUAACAAGGUA